AGCGAACGCUGGCGGCAGGCCUAACACAUGCAAGUCGAACGAACUCUUCGGAGUUAGUGGCGGACGGGUGAGUAACACGUGGGAACGUGCCUUUUGGUUCGGAAUAACUCAGGGAAACUUGUGCUAAUACCGAAUGUGCCCUUCGGGGGAAAGAUUUAUCGCCAUUAGAGCGGCCCGCGUCUGAUUAGCUAGUUGGUGAGGUAACGGCUCACCAAGGCGACGAUCAGUAGCUGGUCUGAGAGGAUGACCAGCCACACUGGGACUGAGACACGGCCCAGACUCCUACGGGAGGCAGCAGUGGGGAAUCUUCGCAAUGGGCGAAAGCCUGACGCAGCCAUGCCGCGUGAAUGAUGAAGGUCUUAGGAUUGUAAAAUUCUUUCACCGGGGACGAUAAUGACGGUACCCGGAGAAGAAGCCCCGGCUAACUUCGUG
rnacentral:rRNA from 1 species